rnacentral:lncRNA from 1 species
CUCGGACACGGGAGUUUGAGUCCUGCAAAUCAACAACGUCAGCGCCAUGCUGGUCCUCGCCCGGCCGGUGACGGGCCCCCGGGAGUACGUGCUGGACCUGGAGAUGGUCACCAUGAAUUCCCUCAUGAGCUACCGGGCCAGCUCUGUACUGAGGCUCACCGUCUUUGUAGGGGCCUACACCUUCUGAGGAGCAGGAGGGAGCCACCCUCCCUGCAGCUACCCUAGCUGAGGAGCCUGUUGUGAGGGGCAGAAUGAGAAAGGCCCAGGGGCCCCCAUUGACAGGAGCUGGGAGCUCUGCACCACGAGCUUCAGUCACCCCGAGAGGAGAGGAGGUAACGAGGAGGGCGGACUCCAGGCCCCGGCCCAGAGAUUUGGACUUGGCUGGCUUGCAGGGGUCCUAAGAAACUC